CCCACCUGAGAGACGAUAACACACACGAUCAGAAGAUCAAGAACUAAAGACUAGGCUGACGAACAGGUGAAAGGAUGUGACUUCAGGAUAUUCUGAGCAGGUUUGGGUCACACUUUAGAGCUGUGUAUGUGACUUACUGCAGGACUGAUACGAGUUACUGAAGAACUAACACAGAUUCUUCAUUAACUCUUCACUCACACUGUUAACUGUGUGUUAACUGAUCCGUGUGUUAAGUAACAGUUAGCUAAGGUUCAAGAAAUAUAACUAUGAAGUAUCUAGUACUGAAAAGUUAUACACAAAUAAUCACUAUAAUGAUCCUGCUGACAAGUAUAAAGUACUACUACAGUAACAACUCUGUUACAGUCCACUUAUUAGCCUUUUAAUGGAAAUGAAAUAUGCAUUUAGUUUUCUUCUAAACGUUUAACUUUUGAUUGUAAAAUGUUUGUUAAAGUAGUUAAAAUGUGGGCAGUAUGCGUGUUAAAACCGAAUAAAAUAUGCUGUAUUAAGAAAUGUU